UACGUAGGAGGCAAGCGUUGUCCGGAGUUACUGGGCGUAAAGCGCACGCAGGCGGUCUUGUCAGUCUGUAGGGACAGGGCACAGCUCAACUGUGUCAGGCUUACGGAAACUGCAAGACUUGAGGGCUUCAGAGGGAUGGGGAAUUCCGGGUGGAGUGGUGAAAUGCGUAGAGAUCCGGAAGAACACCAAAGGCGAAGGCGACCAUCCUGGG
rnacentral:rRNA from 1 species